GAUAAGAGACGACAGACUGAGGAAGUGUCCAGUGAAGGCAUGGAAGUAAAAGGGUGCAGCCUUCCUGAGGAAGCCUUCUUCCAGCAGGGUAGUGUAGGCAUCUCCAGCUGAGGGGAACCAUGUUUAUUUCCUGUAUCAGGUCCCCAAAGAGACUUCAUGAAAGAGAGAAACAAGGUUAUCUAAUAUGUUUUCAGAAUUAUGUGGUGUUGAGAUCUGGGCCAUUGGGCUGAGGUUCAAAGAGCUGAGCAGCACCAGGAGAAACCAGAGGGUCUCUGGCUUCAAGUUUUCAUUCUCUUCACAAGGGUUGCAGCAUGAAAGGAGGACGGGACUUCUGCCUGGGAGAAGCAAAAUUUGGCUAACUGAAAACCUUGAUGCCCUGUUAUUUUUUUCCUUUUCUUUUGCCUGUGACCUCUUCAGACAGUUCCUACCUGGAACAUGUUGUGCUCCCAUUUCAUUCACUUUCUUUCCUUGAAGGUGAGAGGUGCGCCAAGCCUGUUGAAGAAUGCAUGCAUUCCAGAGGUUUAUCUAACAUUUGCAAGCACUUUGACUUUUUUUUUUUUUUUUAAAUUUUCAGAAUGUAUCUACUUUUGCAACGAUUCUAUGAACUGAUGGAAGUGUCUAUAAUUCUCAACCAGCUGUGGAACUCCUUCCAUAGUCUUCUGUUCCUUCUCAUACUGCUGGCCAGCAGGCUACAAACCAAGUGUCUCCUUCCAGUUUGCUCUGUGGUAGCCAAAACCUCUGAGAGAGGAAUGCUGGCUCUGCAACCUCAGGAAUGAAGAGAAAAAAUGAAAUCGCCUCGCUCCCCUUCUGCAGAGCAGUCAUUAACCUUGCUAACAGGGAAGGAGGAGUCUGCACUGGAAGCUUUCUCUGACAAGGCUGCCCAUAUGGUCAACAGAGAGGCUGGUGUUUUUAGAGUCGGCCCAACGAGGAGACCUGACUUCAAAUAUUGGUCAAUGCAUACCUGGGCUUGGCUAGAUGACUUAAGUGAUGCCAGUUGUAUCCUCACCCUGUGUGGAGUAACUACAGAAUGACGGGUCCAGUAUAUACUGUAAUGCUGAUGCAGACUGAAUUCCAGUAAUCACCUGUACCUGAUGGUAAUGUACCUGGAAAAUGCUUUAGACAGCUACUGUCAGAAGCAUUUGGGGUUUUUCCUGACUUGUAGUACUUGUCCUUCAGGGCCCUCAGGUGACAGUGGCAGACGGGGUACAUGAGGAAGUAUGAGGUUUAAGUCCGAUCACAACUGAAGAACCCCUGUGGGUUUCACUGCCAUUACCUCCACCUUGUAUUAAAGAGCAAUUUGUGGCAAAAAUGGUUAGUCUGUAAUACUCUGCUUUUCAUUUUUAAAAUGUAAAUUUUAAAUUUAGCUUGCCUAUUCAUUUCAAGAGCCCUAUGGGCCCAUCCACCCCCUGCUCUCUCUGAUGUUGCUUGUUAUCUGCUACUUUGCUGUGCCCACUGUGGCUCCAAGGAUGGCAGCCUGCUGAACUGCAGAGCCUUGCCACAUGACACGUGCUUUUGGGCAGGAUUUUGUGCUGCCUGGCAGUGACACUGAACUAUUGCAGUAGGGCAAACCUAACAGCAGCAUCCAGAGUUAAUGAAACCUACAUCACCCUGGAACAGGGAUGGGAAUCCCAGAGCUCAGGGGGUUUUCAUGGAGGUGUGCUGCAAACUUGAUGUGUGAGUGACUGGAGGAGAUGAAAGCACAACUGGAUGGGCUAAGGAAUACAUAGGCAUUAGAAUUGUUUUGCAUUAUAUUUAAUUCAGUGCUUGCAAAUUAAGUGUUUGUUGUUUUUUUUUUCCCCAUCUCUUUUCAAGGUUUACUUGUAUUUCUGGGUAAGGAAAGAUGAGUGGUGCGUAUGGUUAGAUGAAUGUCUACUAUGAUUCUGUUAUUGUGUGCUGGACCUUUAAAAAUAAAGUGUUCCCCAGGCUGUAGUCUACAAGGGAUUGCUAUGCAUCAAUGCAAGAUGGCCCUUACAGUGAAUUACGUGCUUGUUUUUCUCUUAUGUAGUUGUUAUUUCUCUCCUUGCUUGUUUGAUUUAAUUUGAAACAAAAGCUAUUCUGGUUGUAGGCAAUCUAGAUUUAGUUGUUCAGGAAAUGGAGCUGAGGAAAUCCUACAAGAACAGCAUGUUGCUUCACCCACCAUCCCAUCAAAGCCAGGUCUGAUCAGGACAUCUCCUUCAUACCGCCCCAACCUGUCUGUUAGGAGGACAGAUUCUGAAAUAGAUGAUAAUCCAGGCUCAUUUUCUUACCCCUUCAAACUCCCUCCCUCCAAACUAAAGUCUGUAUAUUGUAACCAGCACCCUGGUCUACAAAGCUGAACGGAUUCCUAGACGCGAAACUCAUGUCUGGGUUCCUCAUAAUGAGAUAAUACCUAAGAAGCCAGCAGUUUCUUUCAUCCAGAUCUACUGGAUGAAAGUCCUAAAUAUCAAGGAUAUAUCUAGACCAGCUGUGGGUCAGAUGCUUCUACUGCAUAUGUAUUUUUGUCACAGAAGCAGCUCACCUGCGUUAUAGUUUGGGAAUAAGAGACUUAGCAGCCUCUAAGCUGAACGCUGCCUCAUGGAGUGCCUUCCUGGGGGGGCUAUUUUAUUCUCUGUUGUACCUUCCUGUCAAAUGUGAUGGGAAAUCAGUGAUGAAUAGGAGAUCCUUAAUCUCCAUGGAUACUUGUCCCUGCAUGGUGUCAAAAUCUGAGUUGGCUGUUUAUUUUCUCAUAUUUUAUACAUGAUUAAUUUACUUAGGAAGGGGAGGGGAAAAAAGAAGACUAUUUGGGGUUGAAAUAAAAAAUGAGAGAAAGGAAAUUUGAGAGUGGUUCUCAGCUGGAGCUGCUGGGAGGUCUCCAGAAGCCUGUUCCAUACCUGCAUCCCCUGAGCUUGUAGUUAGCUCUCUUGCUUUGUUCUGUGCUCGCAGCAGAGUCUCGGGGGAACACAGAUGCUGCAGCUGCUCAUAGACCAAAAGGUGACCUUUUGAGUAGCCAAAGCAUGGUGCAUUAUUUAGUGCAUUCCUGGCUAAAAUGGAAAUGAAAUUACUUUGUGACCAGAAUUAUUUGUUUGCCCUUUCAAUCGUAUGCAUCUUCUUUGCAACACCCCAUAGUGUAGCAUACACACCACUCCUUGUGGUUUCUUCUGGGGAAGACUUUUGAUAAGACAGGUGCUGUACUUUAAAAUACACUGACUGUUGGCUAGAAAGACCCUCAUAGCCAAAUGUAAUAAACUUCAGUUUCGAGGUACUGUUUGUAAAAAACAGCUUCUAUUUAAAUAAUGUGUAGGAGUGAAUUCUUCCUGGUGAAGUGUCUGUAUCCAGACCAUCAGCUGAUACUGGUAAGUAUAAACAGCUGUUACUUCAACCUGAAGUAUUUUACUUCUUUCAAUUAAUCAAGAGUCUCUCAGAAGGUGCCAUAGCAGGACAUUCAUUACGGAGAGGUUUAAUGAAUAGAGUAUUUGUCAUUCGCAUAGACAGAGGCUUCAGCAACUGCCUCCCAAUGAUCUGUGACAGCACAGUACUUAGGCUCUCUCUGAAUCCAUUGGGCUAAGGAGGAGAGGCAGAUGGGAACCAUUUUUCACAAUGUCUAACUUUAAAUUUGCUACGUGGUCUUCCAGACAGAGAUUCAAAGAACAUGAGGCUGGAGCCUACCUCUCCUGCUGACUGUGAAUGAAGACUGUGGUAUACUCUGCUGCAAGGCCAUCUGCUCUUGAACCUCAUAAAUACCUUUAAAGAGAUCUAAUAGGGGGUUUCAUUUAAAGUUUCCAAUACAAUUUAUGAAUGUUUGAAAGUGGUCUUCAGAUUACCAGAGCUGAGUUGUCAAAGUAACAACUAAUUUGAGAAUGGCCAUUUUUUACUGAGAUGAGCAUGUGGAGGGACCUGGUGGAAGAUCCAGUGUUUACCUGGGAUUUUACUGAGUUCAACCCUGAAAUAUAAGAAGGAGAAGAAAUCUGCACAAAUGAAGAGGUCCCUAGCAGCCCAUGUUAUCUCAAUGGAGAACCCAGUGGUAAAAGUUCUUCAUAAAAUGACAGGUACCUGCUUCUAUGUGAUUAUUUUUACUGGUAAAAGAUUAGUUGGGGGCAGGGCAGGGAGGGGUAAGGCAAGUAAACAGGGAUUCCCUAAAUGGCUGCAAGUAUUGCAGUUGCCUGUUUGGCAUUGUCUUAAUUGUUACAACAAACAGCACAGGAUGACAAAAAAAAAAAAAAAAAAAAAAAAAAAAGACCACCUUUCUACUCAGAAGAUAAACUGCUUUUAAAAAGAAGGCAACUAAACCCAGCUCUGUGAUUUCUAGGAUCCCAAUUAAUUGAGAUGGACAUGACUGGAGAAGCAUUAACACCUGAGCAGCUUUCAAGCCAUUUCUCUAGCACAUUCUUACUGACUCUGAGCCCUUAUUUCCAACCACAGUGUCUGCUCAUCCUAUUGCAGCACCCUUUAAACCAGCCUCCCCUGAAGGAUCCAGCAAGCAGAAGAGAGGAGAGCUGAGCACAAGCUGGGAAUUAUCCAAGUACAAGAACUACAGAGUUGAAGGAGGAAUUCCAGGCAGACAAGGCACUUGGGCCAAGACAGCUGAGCCACAGCCAGUGAGCCCCUUUUUGUAUGAGUUGAACAAGCUAUAAUUUUUUACAAGUCUGAAGAUUAAGAAUUCCAAGGGCCUUUCUGAGGAAACGAUCAUUUAAUACAAAAGAUAGAUCAAUUCCCAUUUUGAUUGUACUGCUCUUUUCCAUAUGAGUUUUCAAUCUAUUAGUGAAAUACUAAAUGCUGCUCCAGCAAUCAGCUAUUGAUAUUUUAAAAGGAAAUCAAAAGCAGUGUAAGGUUGUGGAAGAAAACAGCUUGAAAAGAGAGAAAGAUCAUACUAUUCCUGUGAUAGCUGCAAAAGUUUGUGAAGUUUACAGCUGAGAGAGAGAGAUGGGCCAGAAGGAGAUCAAGGAGUCAAGGAGAAGAUAUCCGCCUGCAGAACUUUGUCUUAGCAUGCCUUCUUAUAGAUUCACAGCCCAAAACUUUGUCGAGGUUGAUCUGCUAUGGGCACUCAACCAGAAAUGGAAUUGCGGGAGGGGAUGGAUGAGCCUCAAAUGGAGAGGGCACCCGUUGACAAUGGUUAUUACCUUGGUCUUCGUAUGGCUUUGAUAGGAUUUACACAGCUUCUGGACAUGAGAAAUACUGUGCAUGCCUAUUAUUCAUAACACAGGGUUUUAAAAUUAGCUGAGCAGCCGUGGACCUUGCUGUAGGUGCAUGCUGGAGUUGCCCUCCUGAUGCAGUGUCUCUCAGCUGAUCUUUUAUCUUUACUCCAACUACAAGCUCACUGUGAGCACAAAGGGAGAAGUAUUUGUAUUCCACUGUGCACAUUUACAGUGAUUUUGUGGACACAGCUCAGCACUAUAGAAAGAAGCAGGUAAGUGGGGCAUUUAGAAGGCAUUAAUUUCUUCUUACUUUCUACUUUUUUGAACGACACUGCAAAAGAUUACAGUGGGAAUAGGCAAGGAAAGAACUUGCAGACUUCACAAAAAUCAAAGUCUACAGCUUGUGCUGGACGGGUAUAUUUGGCACACAUCUGUGAUUAUGAAAUGACUUUUAAAUUGCUUUUGAACUUCAUCUGGAUAAUGAUUCACCCUUUUAAUUUCCUUUCCCCUUCCAGAACAUCCACCAUUAACAAGCCAACCAGUUGUGAUGUUUUACAAUCCACAUUUGAACCUACUUCUCAAAACAUUGCACACUUCCUUAAAUAAGCAAUUACUCAGCUCAUAUGCAGAAAGAUAAGGUCAGUCUUGGCACUGAAAGCCAGAUCAACAACCCACUUUGGAAACCUCCUUUGAAACAAGUCAAGAAGCAGUUGCACUAAAGACUUGUUAAACUGCAACAUCAACAUGCAGCUUAAGUGUUUCUGUACAAACAGAUAUUGUACAGCCUUGAUUUGCUUGAGCUGAGCCCAUUACAGGAUUCAGGCAUAUGCCUAAAGAUGGAAUUACUUACAUGACUGAAGUUAAGAUAUGCUUAAGUGUUUUGUUGUGUAUGGGCCUACACACUGCAUCUGUGUUUGUAUUAAGAGGAAAAGCUGUUCUACAAGACAUUUGGGCAUUUAAAAAUGCAUUUUUGUUCUGAACUGGAACAGGAAGUUUUACUCUGAAAUGAAAUUUAGGAAAUCUUUAAUUCCAGAAAUCUUGUAAUUGAGUAUACUUGAAACAUUGUGUGUCAGUAAUGUUGAAAUGCUUUGUGACAUUAAGAUCGAAACAUAACAUGUCCACAUAUGUUAAUAAAUUAAUUAGAACCAACUGUCAACCAAGCAUGCCGGGAUUGCCUGGGUUGUGUAUUACCCACCCCCUGGAUGCAGGAUGAGCUCCAGUCUGAUCAAGCUUCUUGGCUGAGUUGCAAUGCUCGAUGAACAAUGCUGUUCAACCUAGCACUAAAACAAGGAUAUUAACUUGUGCAUGAGGUAGAGCUCAAUGUACUAAACACUGCUCAACCCAAAUGGCUCUAUGUAGGGACAUCUCAGGAGUCUUAUAGCAGGUCUCUGACGUGAGCACUUCAGAGAUGCAUGACACAGACCCUGUGCUCAUGCUUGUAGGUGACUUGGGUCUUCCUUGGCUGAUUGAUUUUGGCCUGGAGGUACUCAAGAUGACUCCACACUGUUCAGGAGCCACGGUAAUUCGGGCACAACACAAGGAGAUGACCCUCAUCUGCAUCUGAGGCUGUAUGUGACAAGUGAGCCCCUCUGGAGCUGAGGGCUGCAGCUCUGCAGCAGCAAGUCCUGGACACAGGACUGAGCUGCAGCUACUGAAACUCCAGGUGGGUCAUUGCAGGAACCUUAUGGUUCCCUUUCCUGAGCUUCCCAAGCCUCUCCUGCCAUAGACAUUCCAGUACCUGGGGACUGCAGCCUGGCUGCAAAUCUAAAAGCUAAAAUGACCAAAUCAAAGCUAAAAAUUUUUUUGCAACUUCUAUUAACUCUUUUACCAUAAUGAAUUGUCAUUUUCUUGAAAAUGUUUCCGUGUUGUAGAAUCAGUGUUCACCAGAAGGGGACUGAUGCAUUGUAAAAAAAUUCAAGCACCUCUGUGAGCCUGUAGCAAAAAUGAUAAACUAAGUCUUAUCAGACUGAUUGUAUUGUUUGCUCUCUCUGUCUCUAGAUACAAUGGCUGUUCAAAAGGGAGUAGGUAUCUGUCAACAGUCUCUGAAAAGAGAUCAUACAAAUAAUCUGUUUCCUCUGCUGUUCAAGUUACAGUCCCUCUUCUCAGACUCAUUGACUGAUGGACCGGGUAGGGUUGUUCCUUAGGUCAAGAGCUUCUCUUUGUGUUUGUAGAGCUAAGAUGACAAAAUGAUACUGAAGUAGUACCUUCAGAAAAGACCAAACAUACAGCACAUGUGGUGAAAUUUAUUCAGGCAAAUCUUUUAUCUAAAAUGGCUUUUUCUGCUUAAGUCUCUGGGUAGUUAUGGCUUUGCUUUGAUGUCCUGUCCUUUUCUUUUCAGGUUGAAAUAAAAAUCUAAGGUCCACUGCCUUCAUGUCUCUAUCAGCUUCUGGGUCAUCUGGCCACAACAGAGAAGUUGUUUAAUCCCAUUUUUGAGACAUGUUCUUUCAUCAAAACAUACACCAGUACACUUAGCUGGAGCCUGUGUAUAUUGUCUCUUAUGAAAGACCCCUUUGCCCUGGUGUGGCUUCUCUCUUACUCUUUCUGUAAGCAACAGAGGCAAACCGUAGUACCCAAUCAACUGAAUGCUUCGGAUUCUGACGUCAGUAAGAAUAGGAGAGGGAACCUGAAUUGUUUGUUUGUAACAGGCAAUAUGAUUGUUAUCUUAUGCUGCUGCAGUUACUACAUGUACUAUAUUUCCAUCUGAGAAGCAAAAGGCCUUCACAGAUGAGUACAAAAAGAUACAUGUGUUUUUACAAGCCUGAUCUCAUGAGCUUGUAUGUAUUUUAUUGUAAUCUGACGCACUGCAAGAAAUCUAUUUUACAUAAUUGGCAAUGGCAGCCACAUAUUCUGAGAGAAAAAAGUGUAUUGAACUGUAUACUACAUAUCACUGAUAAUGAUUUUCAGCAGUAUCUUCCAUAAAAGUAAAUGAUAAUUUAGCGCUUGAAAGCCAGGCCUUCAAAACAAAAUAAAAUAAUUUUAUUUUUCUGUGCCUAGGCUAGGAUUCAUCUCACCUCACUUUAGACAUCAGCAGUGUAGACACAUAUGGUAGGACCCAUCACCCCAAGCUCCCUUUGCAGUCAAUACAGGGAACAGGCACUUUUAGGCCAUGAUUCAUCUGACCUAUUUACAUGUCUGCUGUAGGAGGGGAUGAAUCACUGCCUAGACUAGAUCUGUGCGGAGGAUAAAGGGAGCCUAAGAUGGCCAGCUCAGAUGUAGAUGGUGAUACAGAUCUACAGUUUGAAUUUAGACUUGCAGUUUGGAACAACAAUUUCAGAGAGGACAUAAAUUUCCUAACCCACACUUUCCUAGCAGAAUGUGUGUAUGAAUACAUAUAUAUAUAUAUAUGUGUUUUUUUCUCCCUGCAACAGAAACAUUUGCAACAAUAUAAUUUGAAUACUGGCCCUAUAUCCCCUUCUCCAAAUGUUCCACUGUCUAAAGAGAUGCCAUUUUAUUUCUCUCUGUCUCUGCCCCUCUUUCACACACACAGACAUGGGUGCAUGUGCCAUGUCUCCAAGCUGGGCCUUCUGAAUUUUCACCAUUAGCUCAAAAGAUACUCCUCUGUGUGUGGUAGCCAGAACUGUUACACGCAGACAGAUAUAUUAGCUGGCAUGGGGUUGUUUUGAAAAAAGCAAAGCAAAAUAUGAAAACAAAACCACCAAAUGAACAUUUCUGAAAUUUGCUUCUGUUUUAAAAAAACAAUUUUUAUUUGUAUUUUCUAAUGGAAUCUGCUCUACUCUGCCUGCAGCCUUUGUGAAGCAGGUCAUCGUAGGAAGAGGAACAUGAGUUUCUGGGAGACAAGUGCUGAUGUUGGAGGCAGGGGGAAGACAAACCUGAUCAUCUAAGAGAGAGUGCAAGUUCCUGAAUGAAGCUCUGAGAGGACAAGAGAGGGGUAAUAUUGUAUUAUUACAUAUAGAUCGGAGUUGAAAGAAUCUGUUUUAUGGGGAGUGAGAAUGAUGUUGUCACAGGUACACUUGUGCAUAUGCUGUAGUAUAAUCUCCCAGUGCAUCUGAAGACCCAUCUAGACUGCA